GGGUAAGAGCUCUCUUCUCAUUUCAGUUAAGAGGUUCUUUCAGCGUAUCUCAGGUUGUUUUUAGCAGGUGGUUUUGGGUAUCUGAAUCAACAGUGGUUUUGAAGAUACAGUGAAGAAAACAGCAUUGAACACAGGGAGUGCCACUCAUAACAGCCACAUCCUUGGAUGCAGAAUGAAGCUGGGGACUCGAGGACCCAGGCACGCUCAGGCAAGGCUGACUGAGAGGCUAACAGGCAGUCACGGGGCCCUCUGAGGCAGACACGUUUCAGGUCUAACAUGGAUUCACAUCACCGGUCAUCAAAAAGAUACGUUGGGGGUCACUGCCUGGAGAUGGGAUGAUAGGAGAAUAGUGGGUUGGAAGUUCCUGGGACAGAUCUAAAAAUUAGCAGAGGGUAAAGGGAUGUUCUCUAAGGACUUCUUAGGAUAGCUGAAGGGAGAAGCUCUGCUUUUGAUUACAGCUGUAGGGUGCGCAGUGCAGAACAGUUCUGGUCUGUGUUGUGUUAUCUGGUGUACUGUGUUAGCUAGUGUGUCCUUGGAGUCCCUUGGGUGAGCUCUCUGCCUUUUCCCCUUGAGGCCCUUACCGCAAGCAUCAGCCAUCAUCUCUCAA